UGUGUAUAUUGUUCUUUAGAAAAGAUGGCCAUUGGCUGGAUAAAGCAGACAUUGUACAGUUGAAGGAAGCCUACAAAUGGAUCAUCCAUCCUCUGCUAUCAACUGAACUGGGAAUUCAUGCAGACGGCAAGAGCUUGUUUGAAGUAGCCGUGGUGUUUACUCACCCAGAAACUGAUGGGGAUUGUCACUUCCUAAGGAAGUACAAAAAGCAAUAUAUGUUUGAAGGACACAACAGACCUGUUAGUCAGAUUACAGCAGAUGGGACCAGUACCACCAGAUUUGAUUCUGUGUGGCAUAGAUAUUCAAAGCCUC